rnacentral:rRNA from 1 species
CCUACGGGCGGCUGCAGUGGGGAAUAUUGGACAAUGGGGGCAACCCUGAUCCAGCCAUGCCGCGUGUGUGAAGAAGGCCCUCGGGUUGUAAAGCACUUUCAGUGAGGAAGAACGCCUGGUGGUUAAUACCCAUCAGGAAAGACAUCACUCACAGAAGAAGCACCGGCUAACUCCGUGCCAGCAGCCGCGGUAAUACGUAGGGUGCGAGCGUUGUCCGGAAUUAUUGGGCGUAAAGCGCGCGUAGGUGGCUUGAUAAGCCGGUUGUGAAAGCCCCGGGCUCAACCUGGGAACGGCAUCCGGAACUGUCAAGCUAGAGUGCAGGAGAGGAAGGUAGAAUUCCCGGUGUAGCGGUGAAAUGCGUAGAGAUCGGGAGGAAUACCAGUGGCGAAGGCGGCCUUCUGGACUGACACUGACACUGAGGUGCGAAAGCGUGGGUAGCAAACAGGAUUAGAUACCCCAGUAGUC